rnacentral:lncRNA from 1 species
CAAAUGUGAGCACAGAAUUGCUUUUAAAAAUAAAAUAAAAAGGUCUACACUCUGGCUGCUAUCACGUUUUCUUAAAGUCUCCUUAUCUUUUUCAAUUCCCCUUUUCUUUUACCUGCCUUUCUACCCCCAGGCCCAAAGUACAAAAUAACCCCGAACUUUCUAUUUCCUCCGACCAGGUAGUGAACAAGCAGCUGUGCUUUUUCUUGGCGCUCCACUGGUUCCCCUCCGUUCGCCUCCGGGUACAAGAAAGCGAAUCAAUUGUGGAAUUGAUUCGUUCCAAGAUUAAAGGUAAAACAGGUGCGGCAUCUUUCUUUAGGACUAGGCAGGGACCUACACGGAGGGGUGGGGGCAGAGGUCGCUGAAGGAAGGCGACCGGGCGACGGUGUGCGCCAGAGUAAAACCUCUUUUCGCAGCAGCCAUCUGCACCCGGGACGAGCCUAGUCUGUAAUUGCACAGAGGUGAGGGGGACCGAGCACACCCUCCCGACAGACCCAGUGUCUCUCACACACCGGAGCGGCCCCGGAGCGCGGGAGGACCGGCUGAGUGACAGCGGAGACGCGGCCCGAGGUUGUUGGAACCUGUCACAGCACGCCGCCGUCAGGCUCGCCCGAGUCUGAGGAGCGGCGCAGUGUGUGCGCUCUCACACACACAUCCACACACUCAUGCUCACAUUCACGGAGCGCCCACCCUCCGGUCCUCAUUUUGAGUCUCCUUCCCUCAAGAAAACCAAAUGGAGAGGCCCACAAAUCUCCCCCGUAGCCCAGUCGCUGACUCGCACCCACUCUCUGUGUGAGCGGCCCCGAGAGCCCUGAGCAGAGCCCGGGCCUCCCCCCGGGGGCCUGGAAGCUUCCCCAGUGAAGAGCCGUCUAGUUCAGGCGCGGGAGUUUCCCGGGUAAGGGAUGUUUCGCGCGUCACCUCGGCGUAGGUGGCUAAACCGCGCCCUCAGAGCCGAGAUCCCAGGCUCCAGCGGCUCCUCUCCCUCAGUCCUAAUUCCCGAGCCGGGGCGAGUCGCCCUCGGGGGGCCGCGGAUGGGGUCCCAGACUCGCAAGGGCGCGCCCUCUCCGCCUCGGGCGGGCACUCGGAGCCGCUGGACCGCUCUCCUCGCGCCACGCUGUGCGGUGGCCCAACUUCUGGAUGGAGGAGACGCCUCUCUGACCACGAAACCCCGCGGGGAAAAGUGACCCAAGACAAGAAAACAUUAUUUUUUCCUGUCCCUCAUUGCUUCUGGAUGACUCUCAACACUGAGAAGUAUAUACACUUGACCCACAGGUUUGAAAUGCUCUGCCACCCCCAAGACUGCAAGACCAACCCCUCCACUUCCUCCUCAUCCUUAACUUACCUAAAAUGAAGAUGAUGAGAAUGUACACCUUGAUGAUGAGCCAUUUCCACCUAAUAAAUAGUAAAUAUAUUUUCUCUUCCUUAUGAUUUUUAUCACCUUUUCUCAAGCUUACUUUAUUAUAAUACAUAUAACAUAUAAAAUAUGUGUCAAUCAACUGUUUAGGUUAUUGGUGAGACUUCCAGUCAACAGUAGGCUAUUAAGUUUUUGGGGAGUCAAAAGUUAUAUGCAGAUUUUCAACUGCAUGGGGAGUCAGCGACCCUAACCCCCAUGUUAUUCAAGGGUCAAUUGUACUCUAAAGUAGGUGGCAAGGGAUGAGGGUGAAUGGGUGGUAAUGUUUAAGGUUUUUAUGCACUCUCCCCAUAUCACUCUCCCUAGAAGAUGGUACUUUCAUGUAGCUUAAAAGCAAAACUAAAUUCUCAGGUACAUUUAAUGGGGCCAUAUUUCUAAGACAUCAAAUAUGUGAACAAAAGAGAUUAUAACUGGAACAACACCUAAGCACCUAUCUUUUUGUCUUCUUUAUCUUAUGUAAGGUCAUGCUUCUGACUAUCUUCCCUCCUACAUGAUUUAUAUAGUUAUUAUGUGCUAGUAGCAACCUCUACUAUAGGAACCACCUACCUAAGAACUACUGGAGAACAGAGAGGGCCACAGUGAAAUAAUGCAUGGAUUAAGUGGCUUAGGCCAGCUUUGUUCUAGGUCUUAAGGCAAAAGAACAUAACCCUCUUUUAUACUCAGAGGACAAAAAUUCACAAGGCAAAAACAGAGGGUGACUCUGGACUUAACAAAAGGAGUCCUCAGGCUCAAACACUAGUUAACCUUGUUCAUCACACAGAGAAGGAAAUCACAUGGGUAUUUGAGGCCAAAUAGUAAAAGAGUAUGCAAUUGCCUGGAUGUUCUCAGUGAAGUAGAAGACUAUCCUACUACUGAGUAUUGAUGGUCAUAGCCAAAUCUUUUUGUUACGUAACAUGAUUAAUACUAACUAAAACCUUUCAUUCUUCAUAGAAUUCAUUUUGUACAGAAUAGCACAAGUAUCUGCAUGAGAACUUUGACUAUACAUCCUCACUUCAAAGAUGAAAAUAAAGGUAAACCAUCUGGAAUUCAACUCAGUAGGUAUAUUUUUCACACAAAUGUGGGUAUAGUAAUUCUGAAAGUACUAUCCAUAUAUUGAGAGACUGACAAAAUGAGCAAAUGCAAUAAUGAUGUUAAAGGCUAUUAUUUUUACUGUUGGAAAAGGCAGAAACAGAUACUGAAUUUGGAAAAAGCAGGAAGAAUCCUGUAUUGUUAGAUUUGAAUUAGAUGUAUCUGUAUAAACUCAUGAUUUUUAGUAUACAUAUAUAUAGAUAGAUGGAUAAAAGAUAUAGAUGUAUCAGUAGAUAUUGAUGUGUAUAGUUGUAUAUGUGUUUGUAUGUGUACAUGAAUGCAUGCAUACAUCUAUUUCCUAAUAGAUCUAUACAUACAGGUCCCUACUGAGAUGACCUAGAAGCUGUAACAGUUCAUUAACAAUGAGCAUACUUACUGCUCUAAUCUUAAUUUCUAAAUGCUCUUCUCUAGUAAAGGGAGUCAGGACUCCUUAGAGAAACAGCUGACUCUAGGGCUGGGGCAGGUAAAUGAUAAGAUAAGCCUGUAAUAUGUUGUUAUGCCAGAAAUGAAGGAAGUUGCCAUAGAAUGGUUGGGGGCAUUUCCAAGGGGUCAAAAGUCAGGUUGCCACUCACAACCUGGGAUAACUUGAGCAUUAAAACUAACAAUAAUAGUGUUGAAUUAUAAGUCACUUAAUAAAAUAAAAAUUUAUGAGUUGAUACUGAUGGUAAAUAAAGAAAUAAAAAGAGAAGAAAAAACUUUCUUACAGAAGAGUGGCAACUAAUAAAUAUAGAAGGAUGACAGACUUGAAAAUCACCAUUUUGUAACUAUCAUAGGCAAGAAGCAUCCAAUGAAUAUAAACUAGUGAGUGCAAGGUUGAAAAGAAACAAGGUAUUACACAGUCUGAAAGUAUCUCUCUACAAAUUACUUAUUAAUUCAAUAAAGCUUAACCAAAUAGCACUGUGUGCAAUCUGACAUAAUGUGCCUCCUGAUAGGCUGCACUGAAAAGGAUAAAACAUCGCAUCUGUGAUAUUCCUGCCCAAAAUGCAUAACUGGAAUCUACUCAUGAGGGAACAUCAGACAAAUCCAAAUUGAGAGACAUUCUAUAAAAAUAUGGCCUGAACUAUUCCAAAAAUGACCAUGUUAUGAAAGACAAAGGCUGUAAACUGUUUCACCUUAAUGCAACUAAAUGUGCCAAAAUCUGCCAGACUAUAGGUUACAUAAUAAUGUGUACUAAAUUAAAUAUCCUGUUUGAUAACUAUACUAUAACGAUGUAAAAGAAUGUCCUGUUUUGGCGAGGCAUGGUGGCUCACGCCUGUAAUCCCAACACUUUGGGAGGCCAAGGCGGGCGAUCACGAG